rnacentral:rRNA from 1 species
AACGAACGCUGGCGGCAUGCCUAACACAUGCAAGUCGAACGAGACCUUCGGGUCUAGUGGCGCACGGGUGCGUAACGCGUGGGAACCUGCCCUUAGGUUCGGAAUAACUCCCCGAAAGGGGUGCUAAUACCGGAUAAUGUCUUCGGACCAAAGAUUUAUCGCCUUUGGAUGGGCCCGCGUUGGAUUAGCUAGUUGGUAGGGUAAAAGCCUACCAAGGCGACGAUCCAUAGCUGGUCUGAGAGGAUGAUCAGCCACACUGGGACUGAGACACGGCCCAGACUCCUACGGGAGGCAGCAGUGGGGAAUUUGGACAAUGGGCGAAAGCCUGAUCCAGCAAUGCCGCGUGAGUGAUGAAGGCCUUAGGGUUGUAAAGCUCUUUUACCCGGGAUGAUAAUGACAGUACCGGGAGAAUAAGCUCCGGCUAACUCCGUG